AACGAACGCUGGCGGCAUGCCUAACACAUGCAAGUCGAACGCCCCGGUUCGCCGGGGAGUGGCGCACGGGUGAGUAACGCGUGGGAACCUGCCCGGCAGUACGGGACAACCGCGGGAAACUGCGGCUAAUACCGUAUACGGCCUUAAGGGCGAAAGAGAUUCGCUGUCGGAGGGGCCCGCGUCGGAUUAGGUAGUUGGUGGGGUAACGGCCUACCAAGCCUGCGAUCCGUAGCUGGUCUGAGAGGAUGGUCAGCCACACUGGGACUGAGACACGGCCCAGACUCCUACGGGAGGCAGCAGUGGGGAAUAUUGGACAAUGGGCGCAAGCCUGAUCCAGCAAUGCCGCGUGAGUGAUGAAGGCCUUAGGGUUGUAAAGCUCUUUCGGCGGGGACGAUGAUGACGGUACCCGCAGAAGAAGCCCCGGCUAACUCCGUGCCAGCAGCCGCGGUAAUACGGAGGGGGCUAGCGUUGUUCGGAAUUACUGGGCGUAAAGGGCGCGCAGGCGGCUGCUC
rnacentral:rRNA from 1 species